GGUUCAGGAGGCAGAUCCAUUUUCUGCCACCGAAUACAUUAGCAUGGGAUAAUGGAAUAGGACCCUGUCCUCCUAUUUUCAGUUGGUUUUGGCAGCGCGAGGACUAGGGUAAUGAUUAAUAGGGAUAGUUGGGGGCAUUAAUAUUUAAUUGUCAGAGGUGAAAUUCUUGGAUUUAUGAAAGAUUAACUUCUGCGAAAGCAUCUGCCAAGGAUGUUUUCAUUAAUCAAGAACGAAAGUUAGGGGAUCGAAGACGAUCAGAUACCGUCGUAGUCUUAACCAUAAACGAUGCCGACCAGCGAUUAGGAGACGUUGAAUACAAAACACCACCAUCGGCGCGGUCGUCCCUGGCUCGUCGUCUCACGACGGCGGGCGGGGGCGGUUUAGCCCGAUGGCACCGGUGAAUGACUCCCUAGGCUUUGGGGGAGAAUCG
rnacentral:rRNA from 1 species